rnacentral:rRNA from 1 species
CAGGCGGUCUUUUAAGUCUGAUGUGAAAGCCCCGGGCUUAACCGGGGAGGGUCAUUGGAAACUGGAAGACUGGAGUGCAGAAGAGGAGAGUGGAAUUCCACGUGUAGCGGUGAAAUGCGUAGAUAUGUGGAGGAACACCAGUGGCGAAGGCGACUCUCUGGUCUGUAACUGACGCUGAGGCGCGAAAGCGUGGGGAGCAAACAGGAUUAGAUACCCUGGUAGUCCACGCCGUAAACGAUGAGUGCUAAGUGUUAG